CCCCAUCCCCAAGCAGGACCUGUCCCCGUCCCCAAGCAGGACCCAUCCCCGAACAGGACCUGUCCCCAUCCUGUCCCCAAGUAGGACCCAUCCUGGAGCAGGACCUGCCUCCAAGUGGGACCUGUCCCCAUCCCCAGGCAGGACCCGUCCCCAAGCAGGACCCAUCCCUGAGCAGGACCUGUCCCCAUCCUGUCCCCAAGCAGGACCUGUCCCCAUCCCCGAGCAGGACCUGUCCCCAGGCAGGACCUGUGCAUUUGGGAUCACUCGAGCUCGCGUCCCCGUGCGGGGCACACGCUGCGUCUCUUUGGGAUGGCCCCGUCCCACGCAGUCAGCCGAGCCGUGCAUGCGUCCGUGCGCAUCCCCCCCCGGCGCAGGUAGCGCCGUCCCCGUGUCCCCGUGUCACCGCCACCCCCGCCCCACUGAGCCCCCGACUCUUCUCCCCACAGCGCUGAUACCCGGCUGCGGUUCCUGGGUCCAGAAGCCGCAGACGCCGGGAGCGGGUAACGUCAGCGCCGGAGCCGGGGCGCGGGGCUGUCCCUGAGCCGUGCUGCUGCUGCUUCGCCAGGCGUCCGGUGCCGCGAUCUUCCCCUGGCAGUGCCCUGGGGGUGUGGGGCCGGCCCCGGGCUAUGGGGCGCGCGGGGUUUCUCAUCCUCCGGUGCCGAGGGGUUUGUUUCUUUUGGGCUUCUGCUUGGUGUCGGUGUCGGUGUCGGUCGCCGGACGGUGUCUCCCAGAGAACCGGGAGCGGGCGGGC
rnacentral:lncRNA from 1 species